GCCUUGGUGGUGUAAUGGUCAGCACACUGAGCCGGUAUUUCAGAGGUCCGUGGUUCGAUUCUCGGCGAAGGCC
rnacentral:tRNA from 1 species